UGGUCCUCAUCUGUAGGUUGACCUGAAGGGCACUAUUGUGCAGAUGCGGAUUCUCAGAUCGCUGAGGAUAGAAAGAACACUGCACGCUGCAGAGUCUGAGGUGCAAGUUAGCAAGGCUACAUUUGCUUGCUUUCUGCUGGCCGUAAAAGAUAGCUUUUGUCCACUAAAGAUGUGGGUGUAUUUUACAGCUACACAAGCGUAUCUGAUGUGAUGCUGCCUGCCUUUCCUCAUAAGCAUCUCUGAUACCUCAUUCCCCCAGGUGUCAUUGUCUGGCACACAACUCUAAACGGGCCCACCUUCCUUCUGUUCCCUGCCAAGUGAGCACUCGCCCGCCCAUCUAGUAUGCUCAUCUCAGACAUUCUCAUUCCCCUCCCUUUUACAGUAUUUAUCUAAGAUAGAUUAUCAGACAGAUAAUUCCCGUGUCAAAAGGGUAUGCACAUUCAAUACAUAAUGCUAAAUUAUUCGUAGCUGUUGCCAAAUCAACAGUAAUGUUCGCUCAUGACACCCUUGCCAGCCGUGUCUCGGGCGGGGCAGUUGUUGCCAUUGUUACUGUAGUUCUUUUCCGGUAGAUGCUUAAUAAUGUGUAUUGAAUGACUAUCUCAUGGAUGUUUAAUGAUGUCCGUUCUGUUAUCAGGCACGAAGUGUUCCUGGUCUGUGUGUGUGGCUGUCCGUGUUGUCGCUCUCUCAGUAGCUUAGAUGACACAUGAGAAGCAGCAUGGUGCCGCUCGCACGAGGGCCCAGGGCGCUGUCCUUCUCAUCUCUCACGUGAACUCUCUCUGUAAUCGUGGGCUUGUCUCUUUCUCUUCGCAUUUCUCAAAGUACUUGUUUGAUAUAUCUUGAAGCUUCAGUUAACAUGCAUAAAGAUUUGUGGGGUUUGGUGGACUCUUCAAUGCUUUUCACUGUUUGAAAACUGCAUUUCUCUCAUAUACUGCUUUCAUAUUGAAUUCUAUUUAGUCUGCUAUUAAAUAUUUCCAAGC
rnacentral:lncRNA from 1 species